rnacentral:tRNA from 1 species
GCUCCUGUGGUGCAAUCGGUUAGCGCACGGUGCUAAUAAUGCCGAGGUUGUGAGUUCCAGCCUCACCUGGAGCA